rnacentral:lncRNA from 1 species
UAAUUAAUGCAUAAAAAUAGUUGACGAUUUAUUGACUUUUCUGUGAAUAUACAGCUCCUAUUAACAAUAUUUAGAUACAUUUUCUCAGAAAUUAUUAAUUAUUUAUGUUUAGUAAUUUAUGAUUAAACAUUUUACAAGAGACAAGGCACUAAAAUGUACAGUCAGUCAUCCUUAUUACAGAUGCUGUGAGUUUCAGACAUACAGUAGAUUUCCCUCACUUUGACAAUUAUUGAAUCUCUUCCUCCAGUGGUGCUUUUGGUUGCAUUUCCAACCAUUAGAAAGUAUACAUUUUAGGACCCUACUUUUGUCUCCUUUUACUCACUCUUUCUGUAGGAAAACCAAAGAAUUUGCUAUGAAAAUGAGCUACACAGUAAAGAUACUGAAAACCCCAUUCCUCACAUUACUAGAGACUCGGACGAACUGAGAGCUCCUUAGAGAGUCAAACUAUAAUGUGGGCAUUAUUUAUCAACUAAAAACAAUAGUAACAAAAAAAAAAAAAAAUCUCUUUAAAGGUGCAAUUACAGAAGCUAUUUCUGUGCAAGGCAGAACCAGGUUUGGUGGUGUUUGAGGCACUAAAAUACUAACCCAACACGUUACAACAGGUGAGGUGACUGAGGCUGAUGCCAUGCUAGGAAAAUCAGAGAAGCCUAGAGGCUACAAUUUGGCUAAAAAGGGGACCUUAAAUAAUGUAUAGUUUUUAGUGCAAUUACCCAGAAACUGUUGCUAAUAAAAGGCAAAGACUAUGAGAGAUACCAUCUAAAUACUCCAAUAAAAUAUUCAGUAUCAGAAGGAGCAUGUACAUUUUCAAGUAUCUUAUGACAAAUAGCCCAGUACUGAAGUGCUAGUUCUGUUUUAGAUGCUCAUUGACUAUAAGCACAAACACGGCACCAUGUAAAUUCAUAUAUUGUUAAAAUACAAUGGAAGCUAAUGCCACAUAAUAAAUACAACACAGUGUAGAGAAUGGAUUCCUAAUUAUUUGACCAUUUAUACAAAAAUGACAAAGAGGGGUGCCUAGCUCCAAGUGCCUCCUUGAAGUUCUCAAGCUCUUGUGCUGGCAAUAUUUUAGAGGUCCAAUUUUCAGUGUCUAAUGCCUCUGCAUUUAGACUGCAGUGAUUCUGAGCCCCCUGAACACACAUGGAAAGAUUAUCACUUUCAGAAAUUUCCAGAGGAUCCUUGCAGUCUCCUUGACCAAAGAAAUUCAGGUGCAAUUCCAGUACUGGUCAAAUAUAUAUGCAAAAUAAGGGAAGAUUCUGCCGGAUAAGAAUCAGUGAUGAUGGAGAGAGAACCUUGCAGAAUAAUCUCAGUACGCUGGGUCAUUGCCAAAUUAAAGUGGAAGUCACUUUUUCCCCUUGGAAAGAUAAGACUUCUAAAAACCUGGCCAAUAAGACUUGUCAAAACAUGGCCAACAUGAUGUGCCACCACAAGAUGGUUGUACCAGCAGGCACAGCAAUAACACAUUUGGAAACAAAUUAUGUCUUCAAGUGUUUUUGCUUCUUGGGUAUUGUAAAAAUAUUUCUAUUAAAUGGCAUGAAUUUUUGGAAAAGAAAGAUUCUUACUCACUCAGCAAUGAGUCACUCAAAUAUCACAGGCAGAAAAAAAAUGUUAAAACUAUUAUGUGACUGCUCUUGAUGAGCAAAAUCUGAUUUUUUUUAACUUGGAAAUUCCAGAAGAUGCCCAAGGGAAGUGUUGCUCCAAUGCUCCCCGGAAACUGGUGGGAUCUGAAAGUGUAACCAACAUGCUCUGUUAAAAAUCCUAUCCAAGGUUUCUAGAGCCCAUUUUGCCCCAAAGUCCUGAGUUGCCAUGACCCCUGUUGAAGACAGUGGGUCAGCACCUCUGAAAAACAGGCCCUGUAGCUACACUUGUGCUGCUGGGUGCUAGUUGGUGGUAAAACAGAUUGUACAUCUUGUUCUGGAAGUUCUGAAACAAAACCACAAAAAAAAAAAAAAAAAAAAA